CCGCGGGAACACCGGCGGCCCGAGUGGUGAUCGUGAUUAUUGGGUCUAAAGGGUCCGUAGCCGGUUUGGUCAGUCCUCCGGGAAAUCUGAUAGCUCAACUAUUAGGCUUUCGGGGGAUACUGCCAGACUUGGAACCGGGAGAGGUAAGAGGUACUACAGGGGUAGGAGUGAAAUCUUGUAAUCCCUGUGGGACCACCUGUGGCGAAGGCGUCUUACCAGAACGGGUUCGACGGUGAGGGACGAAGCUGGGGGCACGAACCGGAUUAGAUACCCGGGUAGUCCCAGCCGUAAACGAUGCUCGCUAGGUGUCAGGCAUGGCGCGACCGUGUCUGGUGCCGCAGGGAAGCCGUGAAGCGAGCCACCUGGGAAGUACGGCCGCAAGGCUGAAACUUAAAGGAAUUGGCGGGGGAGCACAACAACGGGUGGAAGCCUGCGGUUUAAUUGGACUCAACGCCGGACAACUCACCGGGGGCGACAGCAAUAUGUAGGCCAAGCUGAAGACUUUGCCUGAAUCGCUGAGAAGAGGUGCAUGG
rnacentral:rRNA from 1 species